rnacentral:rRNA from 1 species
ACACGAGCGGCGAACGGGUGAGUAACACGUGGGUGAUCUGCCUCGCACUCUGGGAUAAGCCUGGGAAACUGGGUCUAAUACCGGAUAUGACCACGAAUCGCAUGGUUUGUGGUGGAAAGGUUUACUGGUGCGAGAUGGGCCCGCGGCCUAUCAGCUUGUUGGUGGGGUAACGGCCUACCAAGGCGACGACGGGUAGCCGGCCUGAGAGGGCGACCGGCCACACUGGGACUGAGACACGGCCCAGACUCCUACGGGAGGCAGCAGUGGGGAAUAUUGCACAAUGGGCGAAAGCCUGAUGCAGCGACGCCGCGUGAGGGAUGACGGCCUUCGGGUUGUAAACCUCUUUCGACAGGGACGAAGCGCAAGUGACGGUACCUGUAGAAGAAGCACCGGCCAACUACGUGCCAGCAGCCGCGGUAAUACGUAGGGUGCGAGCGUUGUCCGGAAUUACUGGGCGUAAAGAGCUUGUAGGCGGUCUGUCGCGUCGAUCGUGAAAACGUGCAGCUCAACUGCGCGCCUGCGGUCGAUACGGGCAGACUAGAGUACUUCAGGGGAGACUGGAAUUCCUGGUGUAGCGGUGAAAUGCGCAGAUAUCAGGAGGAACACCGGUGGCGAAGGCGGGUCUCUGGGAAGUAACUGACGCUGAGAAGCGAAAGCGUGGGUAGCGAACAGGAUUAGAUACCCUGGUAGUCCACGCCGUAAACGGUGGGUACUAGGUGUGGGUUUCCUUCCACGGGAUCCGUGCCGUAGCUAACGCAUUAAGUACCCCGCCUGGGGAGUACGGCCGCAAGGCUAAAACUCAAAGGAAUUGACGGGGGCCCGCACAAGCGGCGGAGCAUGUGGAUUAAUUCGAUGCAACGCGAAGAACCUUACCUGGGUUUGACAUACACCGGAAAGCCGUAGAGAUACGGCCCCCCUUGUGGUCGGUGUACAGGUGGUGCAUGGCUGUCGUCAGCUCGUGUCGUGAGAUGUUGGGUUAAGUCCCGCAACGAGCGCAACCCUUAUCUUAUGUUGCCAGCGCGUAAUGGCGGGGACUCGUGAGAGACUGCCGGGGUCAACUCGGAGGAAGGUGGGGAUGACGUCAAGUCAUCAUGCCCCUUAUGUCCAGGGCUUCACACAUGCUACAAUGGCCGGUACAGAGGGCUGCGAUACCGCGAGGUGGAGCGAAUCCCUUAAAGCCGGUCUCAGUUCGGAUCGGGGUCUGCAACUCGACCCCGUGAAGUUGGAGUCGCUAGUAAUCGCAGAUCAGCAACGCUGCGGUGAAUACGUUCCCGGGCCUUGUACACACCGCCCGUCACGUCAUGAAAGUCGGUAACACCCGAAGCCG